rnacentral:rRNA from 1 species
UACGUAGGUGGCAAGCGUUGUCCGGAAUUAUUGGGCGUAAAGCGCGCGCAGGUGGUUUCUUACGUCUGAUGUGAAAGCCCUGGGCUCAACCUGGGAAUGGCAUUGGAAACUGGCGAUCUAGAGUGCGGUAGAGGGUAGUGGAAUUCCCGGUGUAGCAGUGAAAUGCGUAGAGAUCGGGAGGAACAUCUGUGGCGAAGGCGACUGCCUGGACCAGCACUGACACUGAGGCACGAAAGCGUGGGGAGCAAACAGG